GGACGAACCCUUGGAGAGAUCCACUCUGUACUAUAGUACAGAAAAUGGACGCCGAAGGCGCAAAUAUAAAGCAAAUUUAUGUGAAACGCUCAGGCAAAAGGACAGGGGAGAAAAG
rnacentral:ncRNA from 2 species